AACUGCGAGUGAAGCGGGAAAAGCUCAAAUUUAAAAUCUGGCGGUCUUUGGCCGUCCGAGUUGUAAUUUAGAGAAGCGUCUUCCGCGCCGGACCGUGCACAAGUCUCCUGGAAUGGAGCGUCAUAGAGGGUGAGAAUCCCGUCUUUGGCACGGAUGCCCGGUGCUUCUGUGAUGCGCUCUCGAAGAGUCGAGUUGUUUGGGAAUGCAGCUCAAAAUGGGUGGUGAACUCCAUCUAAAGCUAAAUAUUGGCGAGAGACCGAUAGCGAACAAGUACCGUGAGGGAAAGAUGAAAAGCACUUUGGAAAGAGAGUGAAACAGUACGUGAAAUUGUUGAAAGGGAAACGCUUGAAGUCAGUCGCGUCGACCGAGACUCAGCCUUGCCUUGGCUUGGUGUACUUCUCGGCCCGACGGGUCAGCGUCGAUUUCGCUCCUCGGAUAAUGGCAAGGGAAAGGUGGCACCUUUACGGGUGUGUUAUAGUCUCCUGUCGCAUGCGAGGGGUGGGAUCGAGGAACUCAGCGCGCACCUUGGUGUCGGGGCUUCU
rnacentral:rRNA from 1 species